GACAGAGGUCCCGAGCGUUAGGCGGAAUCACUGGGCUUAAAGCGUGUGUAGGCGGAUCGUUAAGUGCCUUGUGAAAUCCCACGGCUCAACCGUGGAACUGCUUGGCAUACUGGCGGUCUUGAGCCACUUAGGGGCAACCGGAACAAACGGUGGAGCGGUGAAAUGCGUAGAUAUCGUUUGGAACGCCAAUGGUGAAAACAGGUUGCUGGGAGUGUGCUGACGCUGAGACACGAAAGCCAGGGGAGCGAACGGG
rnacentral:rRNA from 1 species